UGUGACGCUCUGGUUGCCGCAGAGACGCCCCGCCCCGCGCGGCGCUGCGGAACCGGAGCUCCGGGCGGCGUCGGCAGUGGCGCGGGAGGUGGCGAGGCCAGGGCGGCAGGAGCCGGAGCGGCUACCGCAGCGAGAGCGGCGGCGACAGAGCAGACCACAACGAAGGCGCACAGGCAGCCGAGCCGGGCCACGGGGAGAGCGGCCGCCGGGAAGCGGGCAGGAGGCUGGGCGGGCAGCGGGCAGCUGCCGAGCCGCGAAGCGACAUGGUGCUGCUCAAGGAGUAUCGAGUCAUCCUACCUGUGUCAGUAGAAGAGUAUCAAGUAGGGCAGCUGUAUUCUGUGGCCGAGGCCAGCAAAAAUGAAACGGGCGGUGGCGAAGGCGUGGAGGUCCUGGUGAACGAGCCCUACGAGAAGGACGGUGAGAAAGGACAGUACACACACAAGAUCUACCACUUACAGAGCAAAGUGCCCACGUUUGUUCGAAUGCUGGCCCCGGAGGGAGCCCUGAAUAUCCAUGAAAAAGCAUGGAAUGCCUACCCUUAUUGCAGAACCGUUAUUACAAAUGAGUACAUGAAAGAAGACUUUCUGAUUAAAAUUGAAACCUGGCACAAACCAGAUCUUGGCACCCAGGAGAAUGUGCAUAAACUGGAGCCUGAGGCAUGGAAACACGUGGAAGCCGUAUAUAUAGACAUCGCAGAUCGAAGCCAAGUACUUAGCAAGGAUUACAAGGCAGAGGAAGACCCAGCAAAAUUUAAAUCUAUCAAAACAGGCCGAGGACCCUUGGGCCCCAACUGGAAGCAAGAACUUGUAAAUCAGAAAGACUGCCCAUACAUGUGUGCAUACAAACUGGUUACUGUCAAGUUCAAGUGGUGGGGCCUGCAGAACAAAGUGGAAAACUUUAUACAUAAGCAAGAGAGGCGUCUGUUUACAAACUUCCACAGGCAGCUGUUCUGUUGGCUCGAUAAGUGGGUUGACCUGACCAUGGACGACAUUCGAAGGAUGGAAGAAGAGACGAAGAGACAGCUGGACGAGGAACAUGUCCGCCUCUGCGGUGGGUAAGGUCUAAUGCCAGGCCAUGUGGGAACCACAAGGAAGAAAGCAGCCUGUGCUCUUGAACUUGCAGUCUAGUCGAGGUCUUGGCAUAUCCAGAGAGGCAGAUAUGGCGGGCUGAGCUGAAUGCCAAAUGAGACAAAAGGACCCAGUGAAAGGAAUGACGGCGGACGACUAAAGUCACCCUUCCCCCCUCUGCACUUUUUGCAAGACAGCGGUCAACAGGAAGGCCCGGCAGCUGCACCCUCCCAAGUGACAGGCCACCUUCGGACGCAGCCUUUCUGUGCCCAUUCUUCAGGCAACUUUGGAUCCCUCACUGUAGCUAAUUCUAGAUGCCCUUUAAUAUUGUGAACAAAUAGACCGUCUGGUGUUAUGAAGCCCCUGUGCGCGGGAGCCUGCUCCUCCGAGAUAUGUGGCGUGUAGGUGGCUGUAUUUACAGCUCCUCCCUCUCCAACCAUUGUGUUCUCAUUUCUCUGUGCCCCCACCCCCCUUAUGUCCAAGUGACAUUUUUAGUCUUUCAAAAUAGCUGCCUUUUGUGAUGUGGUGAUUUAAAUGAUUUACGUUUGUUUGUUUUCAACCUUGGGAUAAACUGAGGUCUUUUGCUUCCUGGGCAGAUUUUUGUAAUUUGGAGUGCUCACCUGGGGAGAAGGGAUGAGUUAGAAAUACAGAUGUUUCCCCCCGCCCCACCCCCCGCAGUUCCACAGCACAGCAAUAUGGCUUCGUAACUCUGAGCUCUGCUUCCAGUAACCCCUUGUUAGAGUGCUCUAGGCACCAUGAAAGUACCCAAGGCCCAUCCAGUCUCUGUUUCAAAAAUCAAGCAAAUACAAAUAACCCCUACCCCAGGCAUUGCAUUGCUGGUCACUAGCCCUAGAAAUACCUAAGGCUUCUUGGCCCUUCUGUUGCCCACUCUUGUCUGAAUCUCCGCAGAGCCCAUAAUCUGCCCAGGUCAGCCCGCUACCUGGAGGGAACUGUGCAGUGUGGCCCUUAGAAUCGAGUCUGCUCCAUCCGUAGCUACUGGUCUGCCCCCGAGGAGCUCUGUAGGUCCAUGCUCCUCUCCCUUUUGGGCUGGUGCUGCCACUCAGCAAUAAUCGUCUUUCCUCCGUGCUUUCUUAGAUCCCUGUCCUCUGUCCGAGGCUGAUCAGGACACAAGAAGUCCUGCUCUCUUCAUGCUGCACAAAACAAGCAUGCAAAAGGUUUUUUCCCAGAAUAUGUUCCCCCUUGUCUCCAGUUGCUGGAAAGGAAUUUGGGGAUCAAGAGCUCAGCUCGUCCUGCGCCCACGCUGAGUUCUGUCCUGGACAAUCAAAAGCAAGUAGUGAUCGUAGAGCAGAACUCUACCAGAGCGGGCUGGUGAGAAGGUCCAGGCUCCAGGGGCCCAGAAGCUGCUGAGUGCGUCAUGGUGCCCUAUGACUUGGCGGAACCCGAGUAUGCCUUCCCAGUGGGCGAAUCUGAGAUAGCUGUGGUGCCACCUGACAUUUCCCAAACCCUGUGGAGUAUGUUGGCUGAGUGUGCAGUUACUCAAGCCCAUGCUAGCCUGGGUGCAGCUGCUAAGGAGAAAUCAAAUCUCUGUUGGGGCAGUGAGAAGUAGGAUGGCAUCGUGUGUCCUUAGGUUUUUGUCAGUUUGCCUUACUCAUGUCUAAGUGCAAUAAGGGAGCAUCUCACAGGAUGACACCUGCGACUUCCUGACGGCUGCUUCCCUGUGCCCCUCUUGGGGGAAAGGUGGACAGACUCAGCAUAGUUAGCUCCUGCCUUCAUCGAGGCCCCUUGGGGACCACUGUCCUGUUACACCUUCCUUUUAGGCUCCUCACCUUGCGGGGUCUAUGGGGAGGUUCAGUUGGUCUUAGGCAUCCCAGCUGCUGGUAGCACUUAUGUGACUGGGGACGACGAAGAGGCAUUCCUACUGGAGAAAAAUGUAAAUGUUUUCCUACAAGCUCUGUAUUAGCUAUAAUUAUAUUUGUGCUUAAAGCUUUCCCUUCUUCAUUCAUCAACUAAGCGAAGUCCAGCCGUGGGUUAUCCUGGGAGAAACAGUGAUAUUCUAGGCAGACUCUUGUUGAUGUGGCUUGAGGGGCAGCAGAUGCUUGUCUCCUUUCAGCUCUUCUCUGAGAUCCAUGCGUAUCACUCCAGCUCUGGGGUGUCUCGCUCUUUUCUCUGGUUCCUUCCUCCUCCACCUGCUGUCCCAGUUCAAAAGCAUCUGCAUGAACUGAACCAGAAUUUCCAAAGGUCCGCUGGAUCUGGGGCUCCAGCCCACAUAAACUUGAGAAGGGAUGUCCCUGGUUUGUUCCAUCCCUACGGACAGUGUUGCUGCUGGGCAAUGGUGUUGGCUUCUUUUAAGUACCUUCCUUCCCUCCUUUCCACCCCUCAAACUGACUAGCACUCCGAGAGGCACAUGACACAAGGCUCAGCUCCACUGGUGGCAACUGAGGAUGUGCCAUGCCCCUUCAGACCAGCAGCUUCCAUUAGAGUUCCAGGGCCAGUAGUCCCAGUUGGAGGCAGCAGUGCCUCUGUAGGAGGGGUGCUGGACUCUGGCCUUCUCAUGGAGAGCGGUUGGAGACAGGGUCAGUAUUGUGGGCACAUGUAUACCUUCCCAAAUUCUCUUAAAGUCCCUGCUGGGACUCCCUGACUUAUUUUAGUUGGUUCCUAGUGCUACUUCUUUUACAAAAUACACUUUGUAGAACUGAUUAGAUUACCUUGUUUAUUUCAUGUGAGUUUGUGCCUUUUUGUCUCAAUCUUCCAAUACAGAUAUAUUGGGGGAAAAAAGCAGUCUAAUAAAAUCCUAGACAGAG